GCUGAAGAACGCAGCGAAAUGCGAUAAGUAGUGUGAAUUGCAGAAUUCAGUGAAUCAUCGAAUCUUUGAACGCACAUUGCGCCCCUUGGUAUUCCAUGGGGCAUGCCUGUUCGAGCGUCAUUUGUACCUUCAAGCUUUGCUUGGUGUUGGGUGUUUGUCCAUUCUCUUGCAGAGGGACUCGCCUUAAAGUAAUUGGCAGCCAGUGUUUUGGUUUUGAAGCGCAGCACAAGUCGCGAUUCAACGCUAUACGCCAGCUUCCACAAGCCUUUUUCACUUUUGACCUCGGAUCAGGUAGGGAUACCCGCUGAACUUAAGCAUAUCAAUAAGCGGAGGA
rnacentral:misc_RNA from 1 species